GACGAACGCUGGCGGCGUGCUUAACACAUGCAAGUCGAGCGGUAAGGCCCUUUCGGGGGUACACGAGCGGCGAACGGGUGAGUAACACGUGGGCGACCUGCCCUCAGCUCUGGGAUAAGCCUGGGAAACCGGGUCUAAUACUGGAUAUGACUCCAUGACGCAUGUUGUGGGGUGGAAAGCCUUGUGCGGCUGAGGAUGGGCCCGCGGCCUAUCAGCUUGUUGGUGGGGGAUGGCCUACCAAGGCGACGACGGGUAGCCGGCCUGAGAGGGCGACCGGCCACACUGGGACUGAGACACGGCCCAGACUCCUACGGGAGGCAGCAGCCAGGAAUCUUGCACAAUGGGCGAAAGCCUGAUGCAGCAACACCGUGUGGGCGAGGAAGGCC
rnacentral:rRNA from 1 species